GAUGAACGCUGGCGGCGUGCUUAACACAUGCAAGUCGAACGAUGAAGCCCAGCUUGCUGGGUGGAUUAGUGGCGAACGGGUGAGUAACACGUGAGUAACCUGCCCUUAACUCUGGGAUAAGCCUGGGAAACUGGGUCUAAUACCGGAUAGGAGCGUCCACCGCAUGGUGGGUGUUGGAAAGAUUUAUCGGUUUUGGAUGGACUCGCGGCCUAUCAGCUUGUUGGUGAGGUAAUGGCUCACCAAGGCGACGACGGGUAGCCGGCCUGAGAGGGUGACCGGCCACACUGGGACUGAGACACGGCCCAGACUCCUACGGGAGGCAGCAGUGGGGAAUAUUGCACAAUGAGCGCAAGCCUGAUGCAGCGACGCCGCGUGAGGGAUGACGGCCUUCGGGUUGUAAACCUCUUUCAGUAGGGAAGAAGCGAAAGUGACGGUACCUGCAGAAGAAGCACCGGCUAACUACGUG
rnacentral:rRNA from 1 species